rnacentral:rRNA from 1 species
AAAGGAAUUGACGGGACCCCGCACAAGCAGUGGAGCAUGUGGUUUAAUUCGACGCUACGCGAAGAACCUUACCAGAACUUGACAUGGCGGAUAAUACCAUAGAAAUAUGGGGAUAAUACCCGCACACAGGUGGUGCAUGGUUGUCGUCAGCUCGUGUCGUGAGAUGUUGGGUUAAGUCCCGCAACGAGCGCAACCCUCGUUUCUAGUUACCAUCAUUUAGUUGGGAACUCUAGAGAGACUGCCGAUGUAAAUCGGAGGAAGGUGGGGAUGACGUCAAAUCAGCAUGCCCUUUAUGUCCUGGGCGACACACGUGCUACAAUGGCCGGUACAAAGAGAUGCAAAAGCGCGAGCUCAAGCAAAUCUCAGAAAGCCGGUCUCAGUUCAGACUGAAGUCUGCAAUUCGACUUCACGAAGGCGGAAUUGCUAGUAAUCGCGGAUCAGCAUGCCGCGGUGAAUACGUUCUCGGGGUUUGUACACACCGCCCGU